rnacentral:rRNA from 1 species
GAUGAACGCUGGCGGCGUGCCUAAUACAUGCAAGUCGAGCGAACAGACGAGGAGCUUGCUCCUCUGACGUUAGCGGCGGACGGGUGAGUAACACGUGGAUAACCUACCUAUAAGACUGGGAUAACUUCGUGAAACCGGAGCUAAUACCGGAUAAUAUAUUGAACCGCAUGGUUCAAUAGUGAAAGACGGUUUUGCUGUCACUUAUAGAUGGAUCCUCGCCGCAUUAGCUAGUUGGUAAGGUAACGGCUUACCAAGGCAACGAUGCGUAGCCGACCUGAGAGGGUGAUCGGCCACACUGGAACUGAGACACGGUCCAGACUCCUACGGGAGGCAGCAGUAGGGAAUCUUCCGCAAUGGGCGAAAGCCUGACGGAGCAACGCCGCGUGAGUGAUGAAGGUCUUCGGAUCGUAAAACUCUGUUAUUAGGGAAGAACAAAUGUGUAAGUAACUAUGCACGUCUUGACGGUACCUAAUCAGAAAGCCACGGCUAACUACGUG